GAUGAACGCUGGCGGCGUGCCUAAUACAUGCAAGUCGAGCGAACAGACGAGGAGCUUGCUCCUCUGACGUUAGCGGCGGACGGGUGAGUAACACGUGGAUAACCUACCUAUAAGACUGGGAUAACUUCGGGAAACCGGAGCUAAUACCGGAUAAUAUAUUGAACCGCAUGGUUCAAUAGUGAAAGACGGUUUUGCUGUCACUUAUAGAUGGAUCCGCGCCGCAUUAGCUAGUUGGUAAGGUAACGGCUUACCAAGGCAACGAUGCGUAGCCGACCUGAGAGGGUGGUCGGCCACACUGGAAGUGAGACACGGUCCAGACUCCUACGGGAGGCAGCAGUAGGGAAUCUUCCGCAAUGGGCGAAAGCUUGACGGAGCAACGCCGCGUGAGUGAUGAAGGUCUUCGGAUCGUAAAACGCUGUUAUUAGGGAAGAACAAAUGUGUAAGUAACUAUGCACGUCUUGACGGUACCUAAUCAGAAAGCCACGGCUAACUACGUG
rnacentral:rRNA from 1 species